rnacentral:rRNA from 1 species
ACCUGCGGAAGGAUCAUUAUUGAAUAACUUGGUGUUGACCUGGCCCUAUUGGGCAUGUGCUCGCAUCAUAUUAUUUAUCUAUCUCUUGUGCACCUUUUGUAGUCUUUGAAGUGUUCGCAGUCAAUGCGGUUUGGGGUUUGGGCUUUUGCAGUCCUUUCCCUGUUUGCUUCAAAGGCUAUGUUUUAUACACACUAUUUGAAGUUACAGAAUGUCUCUUAUUGACCUUUUGAGUCAGUAAAUCAAUACAACUUUCAGCAACGGAUCUCUUGGCUCUCCCAUCGAUGAAGAACGCAGCGAAAUGCGAUAAGUAAUGUGAAUUGCAGAAUUCAGUGAAUCAUCGAAUCUUUGAACGCACCUUGCGCCCUUUGGUAUUCCGAAGGGCAUGCCUGUUUGAGUGUCAUUAAAUUCUCAACCUUGCAAGCUUUUUUGCUAGUGAGGCUUGGAUGUGAGGGCUUUUGCUGGCUUCCUUCAUUGGAUGGUCUGCUCCCUUUAAAUUCAUUAGUGGAUUCCUUUGUGGAUGGUCACUUGGUGUGAUAAUUAUCUACGCCGCCUGACUCUGACGCAAGACUUGUGGGGACCUGCUUAUAACCGUCUCUUUCAAGAGACAAUCUACAUUGACUAUUUGACCUCAAAUCAGGUAGGACUACCCGCUGAACUUAAGCAUAUCAAUAAGCGGAGGAAAAGAAACUAACAAGGAUUCCCCUAGUAACUGCGAGUGAAGCGGGAAAAGCUCAAAUUUAAAAUCUGGCGGUUU